rnacentral:rRNA from 1 species
GAUGAACGCUGGCGGCGUGCUUAACACAUGCAAGUCGAACGGAAAGGCCCAAGCUUGCUUGGGUCCUCGAGUGGCGAACGGGUGAGUAACACGUGGGUGAUCUGCCCUGCACUUCGGGAUAAGCCUGGGAAACUGGGUCUAAUACCGGAUAGGACGAUGGUUUGGAUGCCAUUGUGGAAAGUUUUUUCGGUGUGGGAUGAGCUCGCGGCCUAUCAGCUUGUUGGUGGGGUAAUGGCCUACCAAGGCGUCGACGGGUAGCCGGCCUGAGAGGGUGUACGGCCACAUUGGGACUGAGAUACGGCCCAGACUCCUACGGGAGGCAGCAGUGGGGAAUAUUGCACAAUGGGCGCAAGCCUGAUGCAGCGACGCCGCGUGGGGGAUGACGGCCUUCGGGUUGUAAACUCCUUUCGCUAGGGACGAAGCGUUUUUGUGACGGUACCGGGAGAAGAAGCGCCGGCUAACUACGU